GAACCAGUGUGGCAGGGACAGAACCCUCAGGGUCACCUCCUCAGUGUCCUGAGGUGCAGUCUCUGGAGGGGUCACCUGCCAAGGAAAAGAAGGUGCUGUCCGCUGCAAAAACACAGGUGACAGUCGGAAGGGGGUCCAGGAGCUGAUGCAUGCCUCCGCCAGGCAGAUGGUGACGCAGAUCCUGGGCCCUUCCUAGAAUCCGUAACAGGCCAGGCACCAGGCAGAUGGUGACGCAGAUACCGGUCCCGCCCUGGAAUUCCUAACAGGUCAGCUACCAGGCAGAUGAGGACACCUGGAAACCGUGAGGACCCCCGCGGUGGGAACUCCCACAGCUCAUGCUCCCACGCCCUCACUGAACAGCUGUAUAAAAAAAGCGCCCCCCUCCCUGUUGGUGCGGAUCCACGUGCCCUGUCUUUGGGGCCCGUGGGCCGCCUGGGGACGCAGAAUAAAGCCUUUCCUUUCUUUCUUUUCUGAUUAA